UACGUAGGGGGCAAGCGUUGUCCGGAAUCAUUGGGCGUAAAGCGCGCGUAGGCGGCCCGGUAAGUCCGCUGUGAAAGUCAAAGGCUCAACCUUUGAAUGUCAGCGGAUACUGCCGGGCUAGAGUCCGGAAGAGGCGAGUGGAAUUCCUGGUGUAGCGGUGGAAUGCGCAGAUAUCAGGAGGAACACCGAUGGCGAAGGCAGCCCCCUGGGCUAGCACUGACGCUCAGGCACGAAAGCGUGGGGAGCAAACAGG
rnacentral:rRNA from 1 species